rnacentral:lncRNA from 1 species
AUGGAUUGGAGGGUAUUUUGCCAUAAACAUUUUUUUUUGUUUUUGUUUUGUUUUGUUUUUCUUUUUAGGGCCACACCCCAGGCAUAUGGAGGUUCCCAGGCUAGGGGUAAAUUAGAGCUAGAGCUGCUGGCCUACACCACAGCCACAGCAAUGCAGGAUCUGAGCUGCGUCUGUGACCUACAUCACAGCUCACAGCAAAACCAGAUCCUUAAUCCACUGAGUAAGGCCAGGGAUCGAACUGACAACCUCAUGGUUCCUAGUUGGAUUCGUUUCUGCUGCACCAUGAUGGGAACUCCUUUUUUCCUGGUUUUCUCCUUUCAUCAUAAAGAUGUCAUUAUUCUGUCUCUAACUCACUUGUCAUUUUUUUUUUUCCAGAGAAAAACUUGGCUUUCAUUUCUUGCUCCUUAACAGCCACGGGGCCUCUGAACAUCAGGUGCUUCUUCACAAACGUCAUCAGCUCAUCCAUCUUUCUAGAAAGGAGACAAAUACAAAGCUUUGAAGACCAAAACUCAACAUAUAAUGUCAUAUUAUUUAUACUUCUGACAGUUCCAAUUUUUGUCUUAUUCUUUCUUAUCACCCACACUCUUCUUUGGCUUCUUGCCUUGAACUUUUUCCUCUACUAUGUCACUACUUAGCACCAUCUCCAAUAUCUCUACCUUCCCUUCUACCCAAAUUUUUCUGCAUAGUUAUUAAUAACAUUUUUUUUAUUUUCCCACUGUACAGCAAGGGGAUCAAGUUAUCAUGACAUGUAUACAUUACAAUUACAUUUUUCC